GACGUAGGGCGCGAGCGUUGUCCGGAUUUAUUGGGCGUAAAGAGCUCGUAGGCGGCUUGUCGCGUCGUUCGUGAAAACCUGCAGCUCAACUGCAGGCUUGCGGUCGAUACGGGCAGGCUAGAGUUCGGUAGGGGAGACUGGAAUUCCUGGUGUAGCGGUGAAAUGCGCAGAUAUCAGGAGGAACACCGGUGGCGAAGGCGGGUCUCUGGGCCGAUACUGACGCUGAGGAGCGAAAAGCGUGGGGAGCGAACAGG
rnacentral:rRNA from 1 species